AUUGAACGCUAGCGGGAUGCUUUACACAUGCAAGUCGAACGGCAGCACGAAAAGAGCUUGCUCUUUUUGGUGGCGAGUGGCGAACGGGUGAGUAAUGUAUCGGAACGUACCCAGUAGCGGGGGAUAACUACGCGAAAGCGUGGCUAAUACCGCAUACGCCCUACGGGGGAAAGGGGGGGAUCGCAAGACCUCUCACUAUUGGAGCGGCCGAUAUCGGAUUAGCUAGUUGGUGGGGUAAAGGCUCACCAAGGCAACGAUCCGUAGCUGGUUUGAGAGGACGACCAGCCACACUGGGACUGAGACACGGCCCAGACUCCUACGGGAGGCAGCAGUUGGGAAUUUUGGACAAUGGGGGAAACCCUGAUCCAGCCAUCCCGCGUGUGCGAUGAAGGCCUUCGGGUUGUAAAGCACUUUUGGCAGGGAAGAAACGGCGCUGACUAAUACUUGGCGCAACUGACGGUACCUGCAGAAUAAGCACCGGCUAACUACGUG
rnacentral:rRNA from 1 species